AUUGGGGCAGCCGCACAUCAAGUAAGCUAUUUGGUCGAACAAGGUGAUGUCUGACAAAGAGGUUACAAAGCUGGAGACAAGAACUUGUCAUUUAUCGGGAUAAUCUACAGCUGAUAAGCUGCACAGUGAGUGAACUACCUCUUGAAAAAUAAGAGGGAGGGAGAGAGAGAGAGAGAGAGAGAGAGGAGCCUAUCCAUCUAUUGUUUUUACUAAUUAAGACGAAUUUCAUUCCUUAAAAAUGAACUGAACAGUUAAGUGACACCAGCAUCCCCAAAGCUAUUUCUAACGUAUAAGAAGAAAUAUAGAUAUUUUACAUUUCUCUGAGAGGUAAAAGCCACAAUCUAACAUGGUUUGCAGGAAUUUACAGACGUUCCCAUGAAAGUGUUAUUGUUUAUUUAUUACUUACAUAGCAGCGCUAAUGUAUAUGAUAUUGUUUCAGUUAACAACAACAGCAGCAGCAGCAGCCUGUUCUGAGGAUCUUACAAUCUAAGCUGUGUGCUAGAAUGCAUGUGGUAUAUGCAUGGACUGGAGAGCAUGAAUGGAAGUUUUUAACCUUAAAAAAUAAUAAUAUUGCUGAUAUGUAAUGAAAUUCUCGGCAGUAUAUGGUCUGCAUUUAACAUUUACAGGUAUCAGAUCAUUCAUUAGCAUACAGAGUGCAGGAAAAACAUUUUGAUUAAAACCUAGAAUGCUUUGACUAUUCAUAGUAAUGUGCAUUUAAUCUUUAUUCAUUAAGCACAGCAAGAGGUGGAAAUGAGAAAGAAAGUGUGUUUUGUUAAAGGUGCAGAUUAAUUACAUUCCACAUUUUAUUUUCUUUGGCUAUCUGACAUUUAUCACCCUACAUAUGAUCUAGAAACAAUAACAACAACAAAAACCCUUAAAGCAAAACAAAAACACCCUUAACUACAUCAAUGGAAAUGAUAUGGGUGAGUUCAGUUUGGGUUUUAUUAUGUGAAAAAAUAUCAAACGAGUGGUUUAAUGACCCUGAACACAAGUCCAGACGUGAGAAUAAAUGAGAAAUUGACUAACAACCUCAUUUUAAUAUUUAGUGUUCUGUUAAUGAAUAGACAGAUUUAUUUUUUUUGGCCAAAAAACUAGCACUUUGUCCAGGAUUCAGCAUCAGAAGUAAAAGAUAAUCAUGCAAAGUCUCAUCCUUGCUCACCCCACCCCAAACACUAAACAUCAUUCUACCCCGCCACACACUAAUAACUGUGGUCUUCUUGGUUUAUCCGCUCAGAGUCAAACUAGCUGUGACCAGAUCUGUGAUUAAGAUUGUGUAUGUGUGUAUGUUUGGGGGUGGGGGAACCUAAUCAGUAGCCUCAUGUGGCCGCUUUGAAAGUUGGGAACAUGACGUGCUGAAAAAGUUUGUGGAAUUCUUUUCUCCCUUUUCCCAGUGUAAAUCCUCCCCCGAUUUGUUGCCGGGUGGGAGGGGGAAUCUCCCCAUAGCGCCUCUUAGAUCACAUCCAUACUGUACCAUACACAGAAUCAAAGAUCUGACCACAGUGCUUACCUGUUCAGUUGGAGGCAAAACUACAUAUUAUCUCAGCAAAUGCUUAUUCCCAAACCUGUUUGUCAAGAUGCCUGAAUACAGGGCUUAGUAAGUUACAAGAGAGAGUUGGAAAGCAGGAAGGAAGAGGUGCUUAAUCACACCAAUGUCCACCCAAGAUCAUUUUCCUUCAUCGGGUAGAGACUGAAAGUAAAGCUAACUCAGGGGUAGGAGGGGGGGAACUUUUAGAAGCAUUUGUAGGGGAGAGUGGUGGGCAUGGGAAAGGUUAAGGAUCCCACCUGCCUACUUUUUUCUCUUCUUUCCUGUAUUAAUGUCAUUACAGCAUAAAAUAGGUUCGGGAGCAUAUGUUUGCUACAAUAGCAUGUGAUUCUGUCCUCAGUAAAUAUACUUCUUGCAAAUGCCCUUCCCCACAUGAGUGAUAUUGGGUAGAAAGUGUUGUUGUAGUGACCAAGGCCUGGGGGAGAUGAGUUCGAAUCCCCACUCAGUUAUGAAGCUCACUAGGCGAUCUUGGGCCAGUCACUCUCUAUUAGGCUAACCAACUUCACCAGGUGCUUGUGCGAAUUAAGGGGGGGGGGGUAUCAUGGUGGGCCAUGUAGAUUGUCCUGAGCUUCUUAGAGAAAGAACAAGACAAGAAUAAAAUAAAAACAUUAAAUGACUUUGUAGUUCAGUUUCAUGCUCCUUAGCAAACUGUAAAUAUUUAGCAAAUAAUAAAAGACAAUGAUGCACAUGAUCACGUGGAAAUGAGAACUAAUUCUGGCUGUUUGUUCCAGAAUCUGUAGGAUACAAUGAGAGGAAUGAACAGCUCAGCCCUGCUUCCUUCCCCUGGCCUGGAAUGAGCUUCUUCAUGUGGACACACCUUCCAUUGUUUGAGCAAACAAUGCUCACAGAGCCAGUUUUUCUGUUUCUCUGGCUUAUCCUGCAACGCAGGCAAUGUGGAAGAAGGAAAGAUGUAAAAAGAACACCCUCAGUGACCUAGAUCAGCAUUUCCCAACCUUGGGCCUCCAGCUGUUUUUGGACUACAACUCCCAUAAUCCUCAGCUAGCAAGACCAGUGGUCAGGGAUGAUGGGAAUUGUAGUUCGAAAACAGCUGGAGGCCCAAGGUUGGGAAACACUAACCUAGAUCACCUCAGGGGCAGUCAGAAACUGUCAUCUAUGACCUGAUCAUUCCUGGGAGCUCUAGAACCGCACUGCAGGAGAACCCAAGCAGCAUCUGAAAGCAAGAUGGAGCCACAAGUUUAGAGUGAUGGUGAUCUGAGUGAGUCAGUGAGAAGAGUGGGCCUGUUUUCUGGUUCAGGAAGUGCUUCACUGAAAAGUGCCAGGGCGUGCGAGCCUUUAUCCAAUGAGAGGCUGCUCAGUGGUGUGGGAAAGACAAGGCAACCUGCCUAGCCUCACACACCCACUCGGAUUAUGAAUAAUAUUGAUAUCUUCCGGGGCCAAGCCAUAAAAAUGAAAGAGCACCUGUGGCAAUGCUUUGGGAAGGCCUGCCUCAAAUUAGGUAAUUCUUGCUUCCAGGAAUGGUUGUGUGGGAGAAAAAGGAAGGAAGAGGGAGGUCAUACUGAAACUUGUGGUGGGGGUGAGCAUCUACCUGGGCUGGGAAGGGUAAGGUACAAAGAAGAAAUCAUAGAAUUGUAGAAUUGAAAGGGACCACCAAAGUUCAUGUAGUCCAAACCCUUGCAAAUAGGUAAAAAAAUGGUAAAAGUAAAGGACCCCAUGGCGGUUAUAUCCAGUCAAAGGCGACUAUGGGGUUGCAGAACUCAUCUCUCUUUCAAGCUGACAGCUUUCCGAGUCAUGUGGCCAGCGUGACUAAACCACUUCUGGCGCAACGGAACACCAUGAUGGAAACUAGAAUGCAUGGAAACACCAUUUACCUUCCCACCAUAGCGGUACCUAUUUAUCUACUUGCACUGGUGUGCUUUCAGACUGCUAGGUUGGCAGGAGCUGGGGCAGAGCAACAGGAGUUCACUCCGUCACGGGGAUAUGAACCACCAACCUUCUGAUCGGCAAGCCCAAGAGGCUCAGAGGUUUAGACCACAGCGCCACCCACGCCCCCCUUGCAAAUGCAGGAAUCUCAACACACAGUUCCCCAUUCACUUUGAAACCAGACCUUGCUUAGCUUUGCCAAUGCACUAGCAGAUUUAUUGCUAGCCCCUACACAGAGCAACUUGAAUAGUCACCAGAAAUACGUGCUUUAAGAUGCUAGUGACCUCUGGGUGCCUCAGUUUAUGCUCCCCGGUUUUCAGGACAGAGUGACAAUUAAGCUUUGCUUAUCGUUUGUCUGCCUCUGUACCACUUUGAAUAAAAUGUCCUUUGGAGUUUUUCAUAAGGUACUGGGUGCAUCUCUUUGCUGAUUCAUAUUCUGUGAUAGUCUCACUGAAACAAUUCUUAAGUGUGACACCCUUCUCUCUGAAAGUCAGCCUUGGCACUACACCUACUGACCCGGUUCUCCCACUUCUUUCACCAUAGGAAAGCUUUGGCAGCCAACCAAGACAAUGAGACAGCUCCUUGUUUUAUAUAUAGUCCUCAGCCCUGACAUGGAUAGAAGUGAUUCAUUUUGCACCUAAAGACAAAGGAUUCUCUCAUUCUGUACUGUUCACCCCGAAAAACCUUAUGCGUUGCCAACAUAAACAAAGGAUGCAGGGAUAAUAUUAAUAAUAAUAAUAAUAAGAAGAAGAAGAAGAAGAAGAAGAAGAAGAAGAAGAAGCAGCCACCCAUCU